CCUACAAAAAAUCACAUGGGCACUACCUGGCAACCAACUUCUCACAACCUUUCCUUGAUUUCUCUCUCAAAUAGCGUCUAGAUUUUUGUUGAGUCCAAUUAGAAACAUCUAUAGCCUCUUCCUUUCUACAAUUUGCUUGUAUCUUAUUCCAUCUUCAGGACAUCUCCACGGGAAUUCCUCGUAGGGAUCUAACUGCUACCAAUUAGAGCAGAGAGAAUAGCGAGAGAGAAAGACAUACAAAAAGACAAAAAAAAAAAUUGACAAGAAGAUAAAAAAAAUCUACAGAGUAAACAGACAUGGUGUGAAAUGGAGUGAAAAAGCAAUGGAAGAGAGAUAAAAUGUCAGAGAGAAGAAAUGGUGAGAUAGUCCACCCAGCAUUAAUAAGACAUGGUUGCGUGAAUUGUACUGAAGCAGAACCCUCUUUCCCUAGCCACACAAGUCUUUUUCAGUGUGUGUUUUGUAAGCAACCCUUUGUCUUCCAGUUUCAUUCUUCUCACGCACUUUUCUUUUUCUCAUUCAUUUGGUGCAAAAACCCUAAAAAUGCCUUUUUCUUCUAUUUCUAAAAUUUCCGUUAUUACUCUUCUGAUACACCGCUCUUUUGUUUUCGCACGGACAUUGUUCUUUUUUCUGUUCGAAAAUCUCCGUUAACGAUGAUCGGCAGGAACGAGGUUUCUAUAAUUUCUAUGAACUCAAUCGACUGUUUCUUCGGAACGAUGUUGCUAUGAACCCAAUUGACAGUUGAAGAAAGGGUUCGAUAGAAAGGGCAAAAAUUUCGAUUUUUUGGCUAUGAAUCCUAGGUAUGGUGGAUAGGUUUACCGUUUGUUUCCAUAUCGGCAAGAUGUUUUUGGGCUUUACGGUUUUUUUCUCGUCCUUCUCUUCAUGAUUUCUUUCUUCAGAUCGCAGAACUGGAACCCUAACUUCCAAAAUUUGUAUGCAUUCAAGCAGGUAAAGGUAUAUACUCUCCAAUGGAGUUCGGGAAACAGCUAAGCCUCGCACAUGGCAUUAGCAAAGAAGGCAUUCUCGAAGAUUUUGCUACUCAGGUCCAAACCUCUCACACUCUCCGUAUUUUUGUAUGAUUUUUCCAUUAAUAGCGAGUUGUUUUAUGCUUGUGAUUGGCGAAGAAAUUGGAAUUGAGAAUGGAAAAGAUAUUAUAAAGGGAUGUUUUGAAUUUGAUUGGUGAUUGUGCAGUGUAAAUGUGCUGAAACUCAAUGCUUUACUGUCAGUAUGUAUAUGUUUAUGUCUUUGUAUACUCAUUUAUUUUUUUCUUUUUUCUUUUCGGGUAGAGCUAUUGUUUUAUGUUUGUCCUUCGUAGAAAAGUAUAACCGGAAAAGAUAUGAAGGAGAAAAGUUUUCAAUUUUCGAAUUGGUGAUAAUGGGUGGAAAUUUUUGAUACCUGAUGCUUUACUUUUUGUAUGAUUUUUCCUGUUUGAUCGUGAUGGAGGUAGAGAAUGCUUGAACUA